UCCGUAGGUGAACCUGCGGAGGGAUCAUUACACAAUAAAAUACGAAGGCCGUUCGCGGCUGGACUAUUUAUUACCCUUGUCUUUUGCGCACUUGUUGUUUCCUGGGCGGGUUCGCUCGCCACCAGGACCACAAUAUAAACCUUUUUUAUGCAGUUGCAAUCAGCGUCAGUAUAACAAAUGUAAAUCAUUUACAACUUUCAACAACGGAUCUCUUGGUUCUGGCAUCGAUGAAGAACGCAGCGAAAUGCGAUACGUAGUGUGAAUUGCAGAAUUCAGUGAAUCAUCGAAUCUUUGAACGCACAUUGCGCCCUUUGGUAUUCCAAAGGGCAUGCCUGUUCGAGCGUCAUUUGUACCCUCAAGCUUUGCUUGGUGUUGGGCGUUUUUGUCUUUGGCCCGCCAAAGACUCGCCUUAAAAUGAUUGGCAGCCGGCCUACUGGUUUCGCAGCGCAGCACAUUUUUGCGCUUGCAAUCAGCAAAAGAGGACGGCAAUCCAUCAAGACUCCUUCUCACGUUUGACCUCGGAUCAGGUAGGGAUACCCGCUGAACUUAAGCAUAUCAAUAAGCGGAGGA
rnacentral:rRNA from 3 species